AUCCAGUUGGCGAGUCCCAAAUAGGACGAAAUGCACAUCCUGGAU
rnacentral:hammerhead_ribozyme from 1 species